ACACGCCCGAUGAAAGCGUGUCGCUCGGAACCCACGCUGAUAAAAGAUCAUAACCGACUAUUCCAUUUCUGAAAAGAAGCCGCGCGCUGACACCGGCAGUGGUGCGUUCACAGAAACAAACCGAGGAAUGCAAUUGUUGACACGUCCUAUUUGCCUUUGUCACGCAGUUCUGUUUCCAGAAGGAUACACACGCCGACAACAUCUCAGCGGUUUCACAUUUUGUAUGAAAAACAACCUUAUGUCGGACUUGUGUUGGGUUUGUGUGGAGUGGGAAUUAGUUUUUUGGCACCACUUAUGGGUAUUUUUUUCAAUUUUUUAAAGUAAGUUGAAUGAUGCAGACUGUGACGUUUGGCUGGUAUUGUGGUGUGGUUCUUGUUCUUUCGUGGAUGCAGUCGGAGAAAGGACACAGCGUGAAGCAACGUGUGGAGAGACAGAGCCGACGGGCAGACAGCGGGGUAGGGUAAUCCAUGGUCCUACUCAAGAUGGCAGCCAGGAGGCGGAGUAUGCAGCGGAACGGAGAGGGGAGAAGGAGGAGCAAUCGGGGCACAAGGAGUAGGAGAACCAGCAGAAGACCUGACGAGCAAAACCACCGUGAGCCACGGAGCGACAGCGACCAGCACAGGAAAGACGUGUAAGGAGACCGGCGCGAGCAGCGGAGGUGGAGCUGAAAGAGCGACCGACCGACAUGCGAGCAGCUUUAAUGGUAAAUAAAGAGUCAAACCUGUGCGAAGCGAUGUCGUUCCUGUAUGGUCCACGUAACCUGCACGAUGGCGGCAGGAAGCCGUUCACAGUGGCACCCAACGUGGGAGGACCAUCGGAGGCGGGGGAGAACAACUUCCUCUGGACACUCGUCGCGGAGUUCAGCAAACUGGCAGAGAAAAAAACGUCAGAGUUGCCGGCUUCUGCAGGCACUGGUGGACCAGAUUGGGGGAGGCGGCGAGUGCCCCCACAAAGAGGAAGUCAAGUAGAAUUCCAGGGAAGUCUGGGCUGAAACCUCCUACCUGGAAGUCGGGGCUGGGCAGGUUGCAGUGGCGUCUGCAGACCAGCAGGGCGAGCUGUCGGCCAAAGAGAGGGAGGACGAACUCGCCCUGCAAGAAAAUGAUGAAGAUGAAGAAGAAGUUAAAGAAGAAGUUGAAACUCAAGAAAUUGAGAAAGAAAAAAUACUUGAAGAAAUUCAGGAAAAUGAUGAAGAUGAAGAAGAAGUUGAAAAUGAAGAAGUUGAAGAAGAAAAAGUUGAAACUAUAGAAAUUGAGAAAGAAGAAGAAAUACUUGAAGAAAUUUAGGAAAAUGAUGACGAUGAAAAAGAAGUUGAAGAUGAAGAAGACGGGGAAGAAACUCAAGAAAUUGAGAAAGAAGAAGAAAUACUUGGAGAAAUUCAAGAAAAGGACAAAGAAGAAGUCAAAGAGGGCAAAGAAAAAGUCAAAGAAAUUGAAGUUCGAGAAGAAAAAGAAAAAGGCAAAGAAAAAGGCAAAGACAAAUAAGACAAAAAGGAAAAGAUAGAGAAAAAGGAAGAGACAAAGGAAAAGACGAAGAAGGUAAGGAGAAGGCAGGUGGCCGGGGAAGUUUUUUUUCCCCCGCUCCCUCAGAAAAGAAAGGGGGGAGUAUGCUCAGCCGGACUGAAGCCCGGCUUGAGUUUGGCGAUGGAGAACUGUGGAGAGACGAAGCCGAUGGGCAGACACCGGGGUAGGGAAAACUGUGGUCCUACUGAAGAUGGCGGCCAGGAGGCGGAGUAUGCAGCGGAACGGAGGGGCGUGCCUGGAGCGACGCUGCAGCAAUCAGAAUCAGGUGGGUAACACACACACACCGGCUCUAAAUCUGGGCAUCUCCUCCUGCUGUAUAAAAGGGGAGAAGGAGGAGAAAUCGGGGCAGAAGGAGUAGGAGAACCACCAGAAGACCUGACGAGCAAAACCACCGAGAGCCACGGAGCGACUGAGACCAGUACAGGAAAGAUUCGGACGACUGAAAAGGAGACCGGCGCGAGCAGCGGAGGUGGAGCUGAAAGAGCGACCGACCGACACUGCGAGUUUUGAUUGAUUGAUUGAUACUUUUAUUAGUAGAUUGCACAGUACAGUACAUAUUCCGUGCAAUUGACCACUAAAUGGUAACACCCGAAUAAGUUUUUCAACUUGUUUAAGUCGGGGUCCACGUUAAUCAAUUCAUGGUAAAGCAGCUUUAUUAAAAAAUAAAGGGUCAAACGAUGGCGGCAGGAAGCCGUUCACACAACGUUUAUUCAAUGUCAGGUUACGGCAUUUAUUUGACCUUUGAAAUUUGGUCCUUUUCCAACCAAUAUUUGACAACACAAAUAUAACAUUGAAACAACAUGCCUUUUGACGACGUUUAAAUCAAUGUUGGGUUCUCGCAUUAAUUUGAACUUUGAAAUUUGGUCAUUUCCCAAACAAUAUUCUACAAAACAAAUGUAUCGUUGAAAAAACAUGCUUUUGGACGACGUUUAUUCAAUGUCAGGUUGUGACGUUGAUUUGACCAUCAAAAUUUGGUCAUUUCACAACCAAUAUUCUACAACACAGAUACAACGUUGAAACAAAAUACUUUUUGACGUUUGUUUAAUGUCAGAUUGUGACGUUAAUUUGACCAUUGAAAUUUGGUUAUUUCGCAACCAAUAUUCUACAACACAAACACAACGUUGAAACCACAUGCUGUUUGACAACAUUUAAAGGCCUACUGAAAUGAGAUUUUCUUAUUUAAACGGGGUAGCAGGUCCAUUCUAUGUGUCAUACUUGAUCAUUUCGCGAUAUUGCCAUAUUUUUGCUGAAAGUAUUUAGUAGAGAACAUCCACGAUAAAGUUCGCAACUUUUGGUCGCUAAUAAAAAA